rnacentral:rRNA from 1 species
CAGUAGCCGCGGUAAAACGAAGGGUGCAAGCGUUACUCGGAAUUACUGGGCGUAAAGCGUGCGUAGGUGGUGGUUUAAGUCCGUUGUGAAAGCCCUGGGCUCAACCUGGGAAUUGCAGUGGAUACUGGGUCACUAGAGUGUGGUAGAGGAUAGUGGAAUUUCCGGUGUAGCAGUGAAAUGCGUAGAGAUCGGAAGGAACAUCUGUGGCGAAGGCGACUAUCUGGGCCAACACUGACACUGAGGCACGAAAGCGUGGGGAGCAAACAGGAUUAGAUACCCGAGUAGUCCCUGUCUCUUAUAC